GAAUAUGGGGGGCCCAUCCUCCAAGGCUAAAUACUCCUGACUGACCGAUAGUGAACCAGUACCGUGAGGGAAAGGCGAAAAGAACCCCGGCGAGGGGAGUGAAAAAGAACCUGAAACCGUGUACGUACAAGCAGUGGGAGCACGCUUAGGCGUGUGACUGCGUACCUUUUGUAUAAUGGGUCAGCGACUUAUAUUCUGUAGCAAGGUUAACCGAAUAGGGGAGCCGAAGGGAAACCGAGUCUUAACUGGGCGUUAAGUUGCAGGGUAUAGACCCGAAACCCGGUGAUCUAGCCAUGGGCAGGUUGAAGGUUGGGUAACACUAACUGGAGGACCGAACCGACUAAUGUUGAAAAAUUAGCGGAUGACUUGUGGCUGGGGGUGAAAGGCCAAUCAAACCGGGAGAUAGCUGGUUCUCCCCGAAAGCUAUUUAGGUAGCGCCUCGUGAAUUCAUCUCCGGGGGUAGAGCACUGUUUCGGCA
rnacentral:rRNA from 1 species